rnacentral:rRNA from 1 species
UACGGAGGGGGCUAGCGUUGUUCGGAAUUACUGGGCGUAAAGCGCGCGUAGGCGGACCUGCAAGUCGGGGGUGAAAGCCCGAGGCUCAACCUCGGAACUGCCUUCGAUACUGCGGGUCUCGAGUCCGGGAGAGGUGAGUGGUAUUCCUAGUGUAGAGGUGAAAUUCGUAGAUAUUAGGAAGAACACCAGUGGCGAAGGCGGCUCACUGGCCCGGUACUGACGCUGAGGCGCGAAAGCGUGGGGAGCGAACCGG